UUAGGCCUACGGGGCGCAGCAGUAGGGAAUCUUCCACAAUGGGCGAAAGCCUGAUGGAGCAACGCCGCGUGGGUGAAGAAGGUCUUCGGAUCGUAAAACCCUGUUGUUAGACAAGAAAGUGCGUGAGAGUAACUGUUCACGUUUCGACGGUAUCUAACCAGAAAGCCACGGCCAACUACGUGCCAGCAGCCGCGGUAAUACGUAGGUGGCAAGCGUUAUCCGGAUUUAUUGGGCGUAAAGGGAACGCAGGCGGUCUUUUAAGUCUGAUGUUAAAGCCUUCGGCUUAACCGGAGU
rnacentral:rRNA from 1 species